rnacentral:lncRNA from 1 species
GAUCAACAUUUAUAAGAUUGACAAUUGAGCCCACAUAAUUUGAUGUGUUUCCUGGAAUAUUCAGCCCUUGAUACAAGAAAUCCUCGGCCACGGUCAGGUUUGGGUUCUUGCAGAACUUCCCAUUUACAAAUACUGCAUGAAGAAGGAAAAAAGAAAAGAUAUAUCAUUAGUAUCGAACCAUACUCACCAUAUCAAUAAAAAGAGAAGUACUGAAAAUAGCUAUAAGAUCAUUGGUUACUAUAGAAAUACCAGCAUUCUUGGGCUCAUCAACGGCAACACAGGUGUCUUCCAGUGGGCUUGGAUCAUAGGCAGAGGCAAGAAAGGAAGCCAAUGCCAUGAAGGCCACGGUUACCAGGAAACUAACGCUUUUCUUCAUUGUUAGAGUACUGUCUCCAACAAUCACAAUAUUUAUCUUUAGGCGGGGAUAAGAAAUUUAGCAUGGAAAAGAUGUUAAUUUAUAGACCAGAGUCGGUGAGUUAGUCUUUGCAUAAACUCACCAAGUCUUCAAUGGGAAGUUUUUUCUUCUUUCUUUUUUCACUUUCGAGGACAAGCGGUUGCACCAAUACAUGUUGAUUUACGUAGGAUUAGUCAGUAUACAGAUCUUAACCAGAAUAUAAAGCAAUGUACAAUCAGGUGGAGGCAGGUCCAAUUUAAUAUCAAUCUGUAUGAUCCAUACGUUUACAUAUAUAGUAGAGCUUUCUGCUCUUUUAGUAGUGUAUGGACAAGCAAAUAGAAGAUUACAGAGUAGGUGCCAGCUUGGACUAUACAAUGACCCACCCCUAUCAAACAUGGUUACUCCAUGAGACUUGUGUAGGUUCAGUUUAAUGAGUAUUUAUAUAGCUUAAUUCACCAUUCGAAGUGUUGAGAGAUUGGCUGAUGAGAUUGAAUAUGUAGCCAAGUUCUGAGUUUCUAGCUCAUGUGCCUUCCACUGAGUGAAAAGUCCUUGGAUAAGCUCUGGGGUUGCCUCAGUUCAAUGAAAAAUUGGGAUAAAUUCAAAGACUUUCUGCUAUAUGCUCACUAGGCUUUCCUCAGUUACAAAAGCUUUGACUAUGAUUUUUAUGCUUGCAGCCUUCCCUGUCUGAGCGGUUGGCUCAAAAGUUACUACUACAAUUAUUAUGGUUUGUGAGAGAAAGAGAUCUUAACAAACACCUUUAAACUAAGACUUUUUAAUUAGUCGUCUUUAACAAGCAAGUCUGUAUUUUCUGGUGAGAAGCAAGAAACCUUACAUUAGCAAAAUACCAAUUAAUUAGAUGAAGUCCUUCGGCUAAUCUAUGCCCUAUAAGUAAGGUAAUUAAGCAGAUCGAUACACUUUCCAAAUCUUCAAUGGAUGUCAUUUUUCAAAUUGAAAGGUUGAACCAUUCUGAGAAUUUUCAAAUUGGACAGGCCAUCUGUAAUCAGAUUGUGAUUAGUGUCAUGACCCAUUAGAUCUUUAUAAGAAGUUGGGGUUAGAGGUUUGUUCACAGUGGAUGUCAUGAGAUUUCUGGGCUUUCAUUUCCAUUCUUUCCUCACUAUUUCAUGACACUGAUGCUUCUCCCACCAUUCAUAUGGUUUGACUCGGACAUCUUAAUUAGUUUUUUCGAUCUCAGUUGAUGGGGGCCGGUUAUACUGGGAUAAUCUAGAGAAGCAAAUUAAUGGCAUCUUUCCAUUAUUGGAUUAUAUGAGGUUGUUGGCCAUGGUUCAAAGUCAUGGUAUCGGACACCAACUCGGUAAGUCUUGAGGCACAUGGGUCUCAACGUCGCAGAUCAAUAUCGGGUGAUACACAAAAAAUUAUAGUUUAAAAGCCCAAAACAAUUUAAAAAGAUUACAAAAAUAAAUACAAAUAAAUGAAGUUAAAAAUUAAUAAAAUAAACUUUUAUUAUAUAUAAAAUUAUUCAAAUUAUGAUAAAAACAUACCUUCGUAAUGAUUUAUAAAAAUAUAAAAAAAUUAAUUUAAUCACUUAAUAUUAAAUAUGCAUUAUUAAAGAUGAAAAUAAUAAAAAGUGAAUUUAUUGUUUAUAAUUUUUUUUAAAUUAAAUAUUUUAAAUUUUUAAAAAAUAUUUUCAAUAUUUUAAAAAAUACAUCUAGGAAUCAUCUUUGAAAAAAGUAAACAUCAUUUUUCUUAUCAAAUAUAUACUAAAUGAAACAAUUAUAAAAAUGGAGAAUUUUUAUUUGAAUGAGCAUAUUUGAAUAUAAUAUAUUUUUUCUAUACAUCUAUUCAUUUUAAUUGACUUUUUAUAUUAAUAUUUAUUUUCUAUUUUAUUUAUGUAAACCUAAAUAUUCAUUAUUAAUUUACCAUUAUCCUAAACCCAUCAAAUUUUCAUUAUCCAUUUAAAUACAAUUAUUCACCACAUAUUCAUUAACUACUUAUUUGUAAUCCUAUCAAAUACCCAUAAACCAUUCACCUCGCAAACACGUAUUUCCUUUUUUUGCACAAUACCCAUUUCCCCUCUAAAACAACACUUUGAGCUCUCUACUUCUUUGCACAAUACCUAUAUUUGAAGGCUAAAAAAAUAACCCCAUGAAGAUACAAGAGGAUGGAGAUGCAAAUAGAAGGAUGAAGAUGCACAAGGUUUGAAGACUCUAAACUCUCCAUACUUCUUCACUUUCAUGAGUUUUGAUUAUCUUCUCUUAUCCACCAUUUCUGCUCCAAUAUUACUAUUUUUUUUCCAUCACCCAUCACCCAUCACCCAAAGAGAUUAGUUUGAAUAUAAUAUUAGGGUUAUCUCAAAGUUUCUUUGUGAUUUAACAAGUUUAUUCAUGAGUCAACCAAAUAUUGGACUCAGGAAUCAGUCCAAUACGGUUCAUGAGCUCUUUAUUUAUUUGUACAAUACCCAUUUUUGAAGGCUCACAACACAACCCUACAAAGAUACAAGAUGAUGAAGAUGCAAAUACAAGGAUGAAAUGCAAAGGGUUUGAAGACUCUGAACUAUUUAUAUUUUUUCACUUUCAUGGGUUUCGAUCUUCUUCUCUCAUCCACCAUUUUCGCUACAAUAUUACUAUUUUUUUCCAUUACCCAUCACUCGAAAAGCUUAGUUUGGACACAAUCUUUAGGUUAUCUCAAAGUUUCCAUGCGAUUCAACAAGUUUAUUUCAUUAGAUAACCAAAUAUUGGACUCAGAUAUCAAUUCGAUACCGGUCAUGGCCAAGACGGAUGUAACUCAGUCGAGUCAAACUAGUCUUGACUAAGAUUUUGAACCCCAUUUGAGCUCUCUAUUUCUUUGCAUGUACAAUGCCCAUUUUUGAAGGCUCACAAAAUAGCCCUAUGAAGAUACAAGAGAAUGGGGAUGAAAAGGGUUUGAAGACUCUGAACUCUUCAUACUUCUUCGCUUUCAUGGGUUUCGAUCUUUUUCUCUCAUCUACCAUUUCUACUCCAAUAUUACCAUUUUUUUUCCAUCAUCUACCACCUGAAGAGCUUAGUUUGGAGAUAAUCUUGGGGUUAGCUCAAAGUUUCUUUGUGAUUUAACAAGUUUAUUCAUGAGUCAACCAAAUGUUGGACUUAGGUAUUGGUUCGACACCAAUCAUGGCUAAGGCGGAUAUGACUGAGUUGAGUCGUACAAGUCUCGAUCAAGAUUAUGAGCCCUGUUUGAGCUCUCUAUUUCUCUACACAAUACCCAUUUUUGAAGACUCACAAAAUAGCCUUAUGAAGAUACAAGAUAAUGGAAAUGCAAAUAUAGGUGUAGGACCUCAGGCGCUACCAACUCUCCUAAAAGCAAUUGCUGUUAGGAAAGACGCAUACCCUAACCUUAUAGUGCAUUCACCCAAGCGCCCAUGGAGAACACAAGGGGAGUUUAUGGAUACGACCAACCUUCCGAUCUAUCAGCAAUCUCCCAUACCACUUGUAGGACCUCAGACGCUACUAACUCUCCUAAAAGCAAUUGCUGUUAGGAAAGACGCAUACCCUAACCUUAUAGUGCAUUCACCUAAGUUCCCACGACAAACAUAAGAAGAGUUGAUGGACGCGGCCAACCCUCUGAUCUGCCAACAAUAGGGAUGAAAAUCCAAAGGGUUUGAAGACUCUGAACUUUCCAUAUUUCUACACUUUCAUGGGUUUCGAUCUUCUUCUCUCAUCCACCAUUUUCACUCCAAUAUUACCAUUUUUUUUUCUAUCAACCAUCACCCAAAGAGCUUAGUUUGGACAUAUUCUUAAGGUUAUCUCAAAGUUUCUUUGUGAUUUAGCAAGUCUAUUCAUGAGUCAACUAAAUAUUAGACUUGAGUAUCGAUCUAGUACUGGUCAUGGCCAAGGCAAAUAUGACUCGGUCGUGUCAUACCAAUCUAGAUCAAGAUUUUGAACCUUAUUUGAGCUCUCUAUUUCUUUGUACAAUACCCAUUUUUAAAGGCUCACAAAAUAACCCUAUGAAGAUACAAGAGGAUAAAGAUGCAAAUAUAGGGAUGAAGAUGCAAAAGGUUUGAAGACUCUGAACUCUCCAUAUUUCUUUGCUUUCAUGAGUUUAACUCUUCUUCUCUCAUCAACCAUUUUUGCUCCAAUGUUACCAUUUUUUUCACCAACCAUCACCCGAAGAGCUUAGCUUGGACAUAAUCUUUAGGUUAUCUCAAAGUUUCUUUGUGAUUUAGCAAGUUUGUUCAUGAGUCAACCAAAUAUUGGAUUUAGGUAUCAGUCUGAUACCGAUCAUGGUUGAGGUAGAUAUGACUCGGCUGAGUCUUACCGAUUUCGACCAAGAUUUUGAACCCUGUUUGAGCUCUGUAUUUCUUUGCACAAUACUAAUUUUUGAAGGCUUAUAAAAUAACCUUACGAAGAUACAAGAUGAUGGAAAUACAAAUACAAGGAUGAAGAUGCAAAGGGUUUGAAGAGUUUGAACUCUCCAUACUUCUUGAUUCGUUCCCAAUUGGUGUCUCAGCUGAUUCAUGUCCAGCUGGUGCUCUUUGAUUGAGAGAGUAAUCAACAAAAUUUAUAACCUAUAUCACUAUGCAUUAGGAUAGCUUUAGCUAAUAUAGCAUAGUGGCUCUAGGAUCGUUCACUGGGAAGGGUUUUCAACUCACAACUGAUACCAAUUCAAAGUUAAAUUGGUACUUUUUCAUUUCAAGGUUAGCUUAAGAAAAAAACACAAACUUUGUUUAAAUGAGGUUUUGUUUAAAGGUAACUAAAAAGAAAGUAAUGGAAAUUACUUAUGAAGAAAAACAUUCCUUGGAGGUUUAGGUUCACAGGGGAGGUUUCUUAUGCAAAAACAGAGCUCCGGUCAUUUGGUUCAUUUCCUCGCAUUAGAGAAUUAACAUAUAGUCAAUUCUCUAACCGGUGCUGCACAGAUGUAUCCUUUAAAUGGAUUUCAACUCUAAUUCCCUCUCACUGAUGCAACUUGCAAUGGCUCGUGCCUCUCACCUAGCAUUUUCCAUUCAAUGUGAUCUUUAACUUUGGACUUCUCUUCUCAAGCUCGCAAGAGAUAACUAACGGAUGUCUCCUUGGAGUCCAAAAGCUUACCAAGUGUUGGCAAUUCUAGAAAAUCCUACCUCCAAGUCACUUCCCAAAAGCCCGCAAGAGAUAAACAAGUGCAUCUCCAUGGACGGAGAUCACGUGCCUUACCAAGUGUUGGCUUAAGUGAAUUGAAGGUAUUUUAAGUUAACUAAAAACAUAUAAAUCAUUAAAGGAUCACACUUUCUCUUCAUUAAUGACUGAAACCACAAAGCUACUAAUUCUUGCACUUGGAACCUUUCCCGGCAACCUUAACUCCAAGGAACUAAAAGUCUAGCCACUCAUUCUAUGAGGAAACUUCCUCAGAGCUUGUUUGGCUAGUAAGAAAACUAACGAGAAAACAAUUAUAUGAAGGAAAAACAGAGCAAGUGCUCUAUAAAAUAUAUUUCUUUUUUCUGCCGAUUACAUAAUAUAUCUUUGUAAAGAAAAUUACAAACUAUAUAUAUGAGGUUAUUCACCCUUUGUACUUACUUAAAGACUAAGGAAUCCUAUGAUAGGUGGGUUACAAGGAGACUUUGGGAGGUGGGUUACAAGGAGACUUUGGGGAUUUAGACAACAAAUAUUUAAAGCAAAAUAUCUCAGGAUGUCGGUCGGAAAUAUCAAGAAGCUUCAGGAGAACACCGUGGCACUGUAUACUGAGAGAAAAACUCUCCUGGUAAGCGCUAUCAGAGGAUCCGGAUAAGUUUGACCGGAGAAGUUGAAACGUCCUCCUCUCCCAUCCGGCUGCGAGAUAUCCAGAUGUAAAAUGUCGGCGCACAGAAUUCCGGAUGUGAAAUGUCGACGCACGGAAUUCCUCCCCUGGUGGACUAAGCUAUGUUGCGCAAGGGGGACCGUCUGCGUGUGCAAGGUGUAGGGACCCCUCUCCCGGAUGACACGGAAUGCGCAAGGCUAUCCGGAUCAACUCCAUCCGGAUUCCCCAAGAGGACAUGUGGCGUGCUCCCCUAUUCAGACUCCCUCAGGUUGAAGCACACAGCACUCGUGAUCAUCACACCCGGACGAUAGCAUAUCCUAUCCGGAUAUGUUGUCCGGAUCAUUGACUUCCGCCGUCAUCCGAUGGUGUGUCCGGACAUCUUUUACUCCUUGCAUUCCAGAUUUGCUUAUGGAAAAGAACCUCAAAGCUUUGGUUCUUCAUAUUUCUGAGCUUUCCAUUGCUUUGCCAUGGAUUCCAAAGAACUCUCCUCAAUCACGGAUUGCUUUGGUGAUAAAAAAGCUAUCAAAACACCAAAACUUAACACAAUUUGAUUAGAAUUGAUUGCAAGGGUCCUUAAUAUGUUAAUUGGGUUAAAAUGUGAUAACUACUACUCAAAAGUGUUUAAAAGAGUUUAUUACAAGCUAUCAAAUAGCACUUUUUGAGUAGUAAUCACUUCUUCACUACCAUGGGUUUCGAUCUUCUUCUCUCAUCCACCAUUUUCCCUCCAAUAUUACCAUUUUUUUUCCAUCACCCAUUACCCGAAGAGCUUAGUUUGGACAUAAUCUUAGGGUUAUCUCAAAGUUUCUUUGUGAUUUAACAAGUUUAUUCAUGAGUCAACUAAAUAUUGGACUUGGGUAUCGGUUCGAUAAUAGUCAUGGCCUAAGAUUUUGAACCCUUUUUUAGCUCUCUAUUUCUCUGCGCAAUACCCAUUUUUGAAGGCUCACAAAAUAACCCUACAAAGAUAUAAGAUGAUAGAGAUGCAAAUACAGGGAUGAAGAUGCAAAGCGUUUGAAGACUCUGAACUCUCCAUACUUCUUCACUUUCAUAGGUUUCGAUUUUCUUCUCUCAUCCGUCAUUUUAGCUCCAAUAUUACCAUUUUUUUGCAUGACCUAUCACUCGAAGAGCUUAUUUUGGACAUAAUCUUAGGGUUAUCUCAAUUUUUUAUUUUAUUUUUGUGAUUCAACUAGUUUAUUCAUGAGUUAACCAAAUAUUAAACUCGGGUAUUGGUCUAGUACCGGUCAUGGUUGAGGCGGAUAUUACUCGGCCGAGUCGUUUUGAUCUCAACUGAGAUUUUGAACCCCAUUUAAGUUCUUUAAUUCUUUUCACAAUACCCAUUUUUGAAGGCUCACAAAAUAACCCUACGAAGAUACAAUAUGAUGAAGAUGCAAAUAUAGGGACGGAGAUGCAAAUGGUUUAAAGACUUUGAGCCCUCCAUAUUUUUUCACUCUCAUGGGCUUCGAUUUUCUUCUCUCAUCCACCAUAUACGCUCCAAUAUUACCAUUUUUUCCAUUACGCAUCACCCGAAAAGCUUAGUUUGGACAUAAUCUUAGGGUUAUCUCCAAGUUUCUUUUUUAUUCAACAGGUUUAUUCAUGAGUCAACCAAAUAUUGGACUUGGGUAUUAGUUCGGUAUUGGUCAUGGCCGAGGUGGAUAUGACUUGGCCGAGUCGUACCGGUCUUAAUUGAGAUUUUGAACCCUAACUGAACUCUCCAUUUAUUUGCACAAUACCCAUUUUUUUAAGGCUAACAGAAUAAGCCUACGAAGAUACAAGAGGAUUGAGAUGCAAAUAUAGGAAUGAAGAUGAAAAGGGUUUGAAGACUCUUAACUCUUUAUACUUUUUCACUUUCAUGGGUUUCAAUCUUCUUCUCUCAUCCACCAUUUUUGCUCCAAUAUUACCAUUUUUUUCCAUUACCCAUCACCCAAAAAGCUUAGUUUGGACAUAAUCUUAGAGUUAUCUCAAAGUUUCUUUUUUAUUGAACAAGUUUAUUCAUGAGUUAACCAAAUAUUGGACUCGGGUAUCGAUCCAAUACCGAUCAUGGCUGAAGCGGAUAUGACUCGAUCAAGUCGUACGAGUCUCAAUCGAGAUUAUGAACCCUAUGUGAGCUCUUUAGUACUCUACACAAUACCCAUUUUUGAAGUCUCACAAAAUAGUCCUACAAAGAUGCAAGAGGAUAGAGAUGCAAAUAAAUGGAUGGAAAUCCAAAGGGUUUGAAGACUCUGAACUCUCCAUAUUUCUUCACUUUCAUGGGUUUCGAUAUUUUUCUCUUAUCCACCAUUUCCACUUCGAUAUUACUAUUUUUUUCCAUCACCCAUCACCCUAAGAGCUUAGUUUGGACAUAAUAUUAGGGUUAUCUCAAAUUUUCUUUGUGAUUCAACAAGUUUAUUCAUAACUCAACCAAAUAUUGAACUCGAGUAUCGGUCCGAUAUCGGUCAUGGUGGAGGUAGAUAUGAGAACAACCAAAUAUUCAAUUUUUUUUUAAAUUUAUAAUGUGCAUUUACUACAAAGCAAUCUUUAAAAUAAAAUAAAACUACCAUUGAUAAUUAGGUUACACUUGACAGCAAUUUUAGGAAGUGUUUUUAAUCUUUCUAAUACUUGAAAAAUAACAAUAGUGGUUUUAAGAAACGUUUCUAACUUUUUUAAUGGACAAUUGCAAAUUAGGAAAUAAAUAUGUAAAUGGGUACCAAUUUUUCUAAAAGCUUUUAAACUUUUUUCUAUUUUGGGUUAUAAUGUGUAUCAUGUUAUUAACAAUAUUUUUGCUUUUAUUUCAUGUCAAAUAAUAUAAUUUUUAACUUUAGAAGAGUCACAAACAAUAUUUGUGUUUACCCUAAAAUGCUUUUUCCUCGUAUGCAUUUCAGGGUGUAGGGAUUCUCAUGGAAAAUACUUCCCAUGGCUGGCAUGGGAGUUGAAGAAUUGUUGCAUGUGCAGCCAAAGGUAAAAGAGGGAUUCAUGUGUUACCUGAAUUGCAUUUUAUCUGAUUUACAAUUUGAUUAUAUGUAUGUUUGUGCAGUCUGGUGCUUGUGUUGCUCAUUUCUAUAUGUGCUAAAUGGAGGAUUUCUUUUUCAUCCAAAACCCUAGUAUUGCAGGAGAUAGUUGCUUUAUGGGUCAGUCUUCUUACCAAAUCUUAACUCUAUGCUGACUUCUUUUUCUUUGAUUUCCUACUCUUUGUUCUGCAUAUGUGUUUUCAACCUAACUAUUUUCAUAGGGAUCAAUGGAAAUUAUGAUUUUUCAAAGAAUAUUGAAAGUAGAAGAAAAUUAAGCAUUUGUGAAAUAUGGAGGAGCAAAAUGAUUUCUUAGUUUUAGCACAUCAGUUUACAGAAGAUAUUGUAAUUUCACAUGAUGAAAAUGAAGAGGGGAACCCAGAUUUCCAAUGGAGGGACUUUUUGGGCUUGGGGGACUAGAAAUGCAAGAUAUAAGUGCAAAUAUUGGAGUUACCCAACCAUAAAUCUGUCCGAAAAACUCGCUUUAAGGGGAGGAUGUUCCUCAUACACAAGAUGGAUUUAGCAUGGGGAUAAUUAGAUCCUAGAUGUUUGUAAGACUCAAUUCUAUCCAGUUUGCGUCCUUUUGGGGCUCCAUCAUGUGGGUUCUUUCCCCUUUUCGGUCAUCUUAAACUGGCUCUGAUGGUUGUUCGAUUGGUAACUCCGAAAGAUCAGAAUAGCUGUAUCUGCUAAGAUAAUGGAUGAAAUGAUAUGCUAACUUGGCAACUCGAAAAUAAUGGCCCGUGUCUUCCUCCUAUUAGGGUAUAUUGAAUUCUAAUUCAAGAAAAUUUUGCAGUAUUCAGGGUGGAAGCAGAUCACUUAAUCUUUUGUAGUAGGGAUUUAAGAGGUUUAGGCAGAUGCUUGAAGGUUUAUUCAUACUUAUUGUGAAGCAGAUCAUCUGGAAAACUGGGGAGUUAUCAUGCUGAAGACAUUUUUCUCCUUAUUGAAGUUUUCCAAACAAACCCUUCCAUCUAGGGUGAAUUAUUGGUUUCAUUUGGCUGAGUAGGAGAUUUCAGAUAGAAGCCAUCAAUCCUGGUCCUCAAGGGUGGAGUGGUAUGAUUACCAUCUAUGUAAAGACUUUGAAAUUUUUUUGUCAUUAACAAGCAUUUGUUGAUAAAUUUGCUUACCAUCUUCCACAAAUGAAAUUAUGGUUUUGAGUGUAUAAUUAUAACUGCUUAUGAUGAAAGGGAAAAACACCGACAAAGGACUCACUGGUUUUUUCUGCACAAAUGGGAGCAAUCUGUUAUUCUGGUUUCUUAUUACACACAAGCAAAACGAUCAUUUAUAGUUGUAAAUAGAGAGCUCUUCUUCUUACCUAGACUGAAAGUGACGGAGGUUUACUAUUUUAAGUUCAGUGACAUGUCCACAUUUUCUUCCUUUGCCUUACGAAGUGUUUCAAAUCCCAUUUCUUUCCAGACAUUCUUUAGCCUUUGAGCAACCGAAGAGAUAAGGGGACGCUUUUGGGGGUUCUCUUCUGUGCACAUCAUCCCUGCAUCGAGCAUGUGGAUACAGCAUUGCUCAAGCUUAUGUAAAGCACCACUCCCCUCUUCCAAAUAUGCUUCGUGCUUCAGUGAGAUGUCUACAAUAUCCAAAACUUGAUUUGGAAAAGCAGAACACACCCAUUUCCUUAGAUCAAGUCCAUCUGAAAACAUUUCAUUCGUUGGUCUCUUCCGUGUUAUCAUCUCUAACAUCAUCACUCCAAAACUGUAUACAUCUCCUCUUGUUGAGACAUCGAUCCCCUGCCCAUAUUCUGUGUACAAGCAAUAGGAACUAUUAGCUGAAUCACUGUACUUUUAUUUAUAUCCCUUCAAAUUAGGAUAGUCUGUUUAAAGAAAGAGACAUGGAUAGAUGCAGUUGGUUCAUAUUAACUAUCUGAAUAUCACAAGAAUGCAAGCAUCCUUCUUUUUCAUUUAGAUGUAAAUGCUUCUCAUUGGAAAAGCGAUUAGGAAACUAUCUGAAUAUCACUGUACUUAAAGAAAAGCGGGAGAAUAACCAACAAGACAUACCAUGUUGUUAAACAAAUUUAUCAUAAUGGUAUAUGAGGAAACACACAAAACCCUAUUUUUUCUUCUCGACUUCUAUCCUAUUAUUAACAGUUAGUUCUCUAGAAUAUAUGACCAUUGGGUAGGCAGUCAAAUGAAUGAAAACUAGACUAGUUUGAAGUUCAUGUGAGAUGAAAGAUUGGCAUUCAUGAUUAAAAGUAAUUAUCUAGUCUGAUAACUUAUCAUUUACUUCUCAGAUUUGAAGGUAGGUCGCUAACUUUUCCAAGAAGAUUCAAAGGGAUUAUGAAGCAUAGGAUUGAAGAUUUAUAUAAGGUAAUCAAAUGCAUACCUGGGGGGAUAUACCCGACAGAUCCUCGUAGAAAAGCAGUUGUGGUAGUAACAUGUCCUCUUGGUUUGUCACCUGAAAUGAGCUUUCCAAUACCAGAAUCUCCUACAUGAGCCACCAUAUCAUUGUCCAAAAGAACAUUUUGUGGUUUCAGGUCACAGUGUACAACUUGAACAGGACAACCCUCAUGAAGAUACUCCAAGCCAUUUGCAACAUCUAUUGCUAUUCCCAUUCUUUCCCUCAAUUUUAAUUCACUACCUCCUUCAUCUGACCCACCAGGGUAAAGAUGCUGUUCCAAGUUCCCAUUGCCUAUAUACUCGAGAACAAUAGCCUUGAAUCCUGAAUUCCAGGUCGAUCCUAUCAUUCUAACCAGAUUCCUAUGUCUAAUUUCAGACAGUAUUUGACACUCCCUUUUAAAACUUCUGUAACCCUGAACACGCUCUUCUUGCAGAACCUUAACUGCCACAACAGUUUUUCCAUCAUUGAUGAUAGCUUUAUACACCCUACCAAAACUUCCUUCCCCUAAUAGAUUAGCCUCAUCAAAACCGCCAGUAGCAAUUUCGAUUUCCCUUUCAGUUAAAGUUUGGGUUCCAUGAUGGGUUGGGGAAUACAUUAGAAUUGCAGUCUCCGCACCUGCACUCCUAUUUUUGAAGAAGAAACGACGAACAGUGAGGGCGAUCAGCACAAAGAGAAGCAGAGAACAAGUUAAUAUUGCAAACAGGUAAUAAAUCCAUUUCCUUUUCUUGUGCUUUUGUUUCAGAAUUUCACAUGGAUGGAGACCCAUAAGUUUGGUGCCACCACAGAGCCCCAUAUUCCCCAUGAAUGAGCUGCUUCCUAGAUUUUUAUACCUCCCACUAUUUGGAACCUCUCCUGUUAAUCUGUUAUACGAUAAAUUGAGAUUCUUGAUCUUCUGGCUGUCACCAAUCCAGAUUGGAACAUUUCCUGUUAAAUUAUUGAAAGCCAAGUCCAGAUAUCCUAGAUCAAUGAUUUGCUUCAGGGACUCUGGGAUUGUACCUUCAAGCAUGUUGUGAGAGAGGUUCAGAUACUCCAUUGAAAUGCAUCUUCCAAUCGAACUUGGUAUCACUCCGAAGAAUUUAUUCGCUGACAAGUCAAUUGCCAGCACAGAUGCCAGAUUUCCAAUACUAGCAGGUAGUUCUCCUUCAAGAUUGUUGUUCGAAAGGUUGAGUGAAAGAGCCAGGUUUGAGAAAUGACCAAUUUCUGUGGGAAGAGACCCUUGUAAGUUGUUAAAAGACAAAUCAAGAAGCAUUAGAAGAGAACAUUGGGUGAGUUCGAUGGGAAUUUUCCCUGUGAGGUGGUUGUGAGACAAGUAAAGAUAUCUCAACUGUGACAGAUUACCAAGAGAAGAUGGGAUUGUCCCACUAAUCAAAUUAUCACUAAGUUCCAGUAAACCAAGGUUAGCCAUCUGCCCAAGUUCAUCUGGAAUUGGCCCAAGAAGUUUGUUUCUUCCCAAGUGUAAUCUCUGCAACUGCCUAAGCUUCCCAAUUGUUGCAGGAACUCCAUUCAAAAAAUUAUACCACAGGUCUAGAGUCACAAGGCCGCUUAGAUUUCCAAUUUCAGCUGGUAGGUCUCCUGUUAAUUUGUUGUUUCGAAGAUUCAAGUAGUAGAGAUCUUUGGAAAGACUGCCAAUUGAAGCCGGUAAACUUCCUGCAAACAGACAUGCCCCUAAGUGCAGUUUCUGUAGACGUGAACAAUUAGUGAGAGGAGUUAGAAAACUGAGGGAAGAGUUGUUGGAACCGCUCACCAGGUUAUUGCUAUGAAGGUAAAGUCUCUCAAGUUUCUUCAACUUCCCCAACUCAGGAGGGACUUCCCCCUCUAACUGGUUGAGGCUAAGAUCAAGCAGUGUCAGCUGAGAAAGAUUGGACAGGGUCACUGGAAUUUUCCCAGAAAGUUGGUUUUCUUGGAAGUACAAUCUCUGCAAGUUAUGGAGCUUUGACCCCAAUUCGAAAGGGAUUGUUCCCGUUAACCGAUUCUCAAUCAGUGUAAUGUGACGCAGGGCAGUGCAAUUACUGAUGGAUGCAGGUAUGCUUCCUUCCAAAAAGUUGAUGUGGAGGUACAAUAUCUCCAGCUUUGUUAAUGCUCCUAGCUCCUCUGGAAUCCUUCCUGUGAAGUAAUUAACUUGCAAUUCUAAAUCUGUCAGCUUUGUCAGAUUCGAAAGAAACGAUGGUAUAGCUCCAGUGAGGCUGUUCUCAGAGAGACAAAGGUAUGUCAAGUUUGUCAUUUGGCCUAGUACAGCAGGAAUGCUUCCAGUCAGAUUGUUAUAGUCCAAGUCUAUUGUCUCCAGGCUCCAGCAGCCUUGUAUUGAGGCUGGAAUAUUGCCCCCAAGCUUAUUACCACUCAUGUUUAUGAAUGUUAACUCAGAAAGCUCUCCAAUGGUAGCUGGGAUCUCUCCAUACAAGCUGUUGGCUUGCAAAGAGAGGGUGGUGAGAUGGGAUAGAUUGGAUAUGUAUGGUGAGAUAACUCCCUGUAAGCGCAUGUUUAUGAGCUCAAUGGCUAUGACCCGGUUCUUAAGUUGCUGGUGGCAUGUAAUCCCUGUCCAGUUGCAGAAGAACCUGGUUUCAUUCCAAUCUUGGAGAUGACCAUCUGGAUCACCUGUUAUGCCUUGUUUGAAUUUGAGCAGAGAUUGACAAUCAGUGGAGUUUUUGCAGAGGAAUGUGGAAGUUGAUAGUAGAGCAAGACAACUAAGAGAGAAAAACACUGCCACAGCAACGGGAUUGUUCUGAUUGUAUGCCAUUCUCUCUCUCUCUCUCUCUCAGUGUGUGUGUACAGCUUUUGGAAUUCGAUGUUAGAUUUCAGGCCAAAAGUUUUUUUUCUCACUUGUUAGGUAAGAUGGGAUGAACAAUCAAUUUUCUUAAAAGUUUAAACUUAACGUGUAUCAUACUUUUCAACACUCGACGGGAUCAAUGGUAGAAGUUUAAAUAGAUGGGCUCAGUUGCUCAAAUGGUUCAGACAACUUGGCCUAGUGAGGGGCAGGUGGUGAGCCCUCAUUUAUCACUGGGACCAUAGAGCAAGACUUUUUGGUAUUGCCAUCACCUGUCUUAACUUCAUUCAACCUCUUCAAUGCUGUUUGACAUUUUCUUCCGUGACAGAAUUAAUAGCUAUGCAGUUUCCCAAAAUUUGCUCCGAACCCAUUGUCAUUUUUUUUUCUUCAUAUUUUAUAUUUUGUAUUUAUUUAUUUUUAUAUUAUUAUCAUUUAUUAUUUAUUUUAUUUUUCUUUCUUUUUCUUUUAUUUAUUUUAUUUUCUUCUUCCUUUCUUCCUCCAUGCAUGCACUACCAUUGUCACUUUUUUCUCUUUCUAAGGAUUUGCAAUUGACUCUAUUGAUAUUUUGUUGGUUGAGCAUGGAUUUAUGACUUAUAACACACACAUGGAAGGUUGAAUUUCAUGAAAGAAAAUGAGGGUUAGAAAAAUAAUAAAUGGGAAACAUUGAGCUUAUUGUGGGUUUGAUUUGGUACAAAUUCUUUUGUAUAUAUCUACUUGGGUAUACAAUUGAAUAUUUAAUUUAGGAAAAUUCAAAAAAUUGUUUUCAAUGAAAUUAAAAAAAAAAAUUAAUAACAAUUGCCUGGAAAUUUAUUUAUUUAAUAAACAUUGUUUUGUCAAUAAAAUUGUCAUCAAAGUUAAUUUUUAAUAAAAUUAUCUAAAAAAGUGAAUUUAUAAAUGAAAUUCUAUUUCCUUAAUUUAAAUGGGAUAAAAAGUAAUUUUUGUAAAUUAAAGUCUUAAAUAAUUUUUUCAUAAUAAUAGAACGAGAAUCUUUUUAGCAAAUUGAACUUAUACAAAUUAUUUUCUUUUCGUAAAUAAAGUUUGUAAAGAAAUUAUUUUCUUUAUAAAUAAAAUCAAAAUGAAAUAUUUUUACAACUAAAAGAAUAUUUAAUUGAGCAAGUGAUGAACUAUUUGCUUGUUUAAGUAACCUUUUGAAAUGUUCCCUCAGCAUAAUGGUAGUACAAUAAGAGGGUUUAUUAUGUACUUCUUUCUAUAUGGACUUUGGGUAUAAUAAAAACAAUGCUUUCUCUCUCUCUCUCUCUCUCUCUCUCUCUCUCUCUCUCUCUCCCCCUAGUCCACAGGUUUACACCCUCAGCUUUACCCUGGACUAAGUCCUGAAACCCAAAGAUUAUGCAGAAUCAAACUCUUAAAGUCUACAGCAUGAGUUGAAGAAAAAAGGAUGAGUAUUUAAUGUAGUAGUUGAGGAAUGAUUCAAUGUUUGAAAUAUAAAAAAUGCAAUCCAUUGAACACUUAGCUGGACUAUCUGCUUAUUGUAUACAUAAAACAUAGACUAAUCCGAAGACUUCUAUGUUAUAACUUUAGAAUUUUCAUAUCCAAGGUUUUCACUUCUUUCUCAUCAGAAGACAAAGAUUGUAACUGUUGCAGAAAACCUAACAACCUAGUUUAUUUGUUAAGGUCCCUUUCUCUCAUAAGACAUAAAUAUAUUCACUAUCAAACACCAUAAUGAUAAUAAUAAUGAUCUUCUUUUUGCUGUAUAUACACUACUUUAGAGUUUGUUCAAUGUUUGGUUACCAAGAAAACAGAAGGACUGAUCUGCUGCAUUAAAAGGUUAAGUAAUCCUGAAUACUUUCACUUCAUUUUGCCAUAUGUAGUUCUUCCAUUAGCUAGCCAUUUGGAACUAAAUCUUGUGGAGAACUUUUCAUAUUGGAGAUGGAUAUGAAAUUGGAUCUGCCUCCACCUCAUUGAACUUCACUUUCAACAUAUGCAUUGAGAAUAUUUAAGUUAAGAUCAGUAUACUAACUAACCCUACAUAAAUUAACAUGUAUUGGUGAAAACACUUAUCCUUGUAAGUGAGAAAGCAAAAAAAAAAAAAGAAAAAAAAAAAAGACCUACCCAUUGAAGACCAUCUAUAAAUUGACAUGUUUCUCAUGCAAAAAUUUUCACCCCUCACCUAAACACAAAGAUUUGUGAUUGUUUGGAGACAGUACUCUAACAAUGGAGAAAGGUGUUAGUUUCCUAGUAACUGUGGCCCUCAUGGCAUUGGCUUCAUCUUUUGCCUCUGCCUCUGAUCCAAGCCCACUGCAGGACACUUGCGUUGCCAUUGGGGAACCCAAGAAUGCUUGUAUUUCUUUAGUAACCAAUGAACUUGUCACUAUUUUCACUGAUCUUUCCAAUUCAAUAUUGGGCACAUUAAUGCAGUAGCCAUUGCUGGUCUAAGCAGCCAAAAUCCAGGUGUAAUCACCAUAUCCAAUGCAGUGUUUGGAUCAAAUCCACCAAUCAAUCCUGAUUUCCUGGCAACGGCCUUCCAGUUGGACAAGAAGGUGGUUGAAUUCCUUCAAGCACGAUUCUAGUGGGGAAAUAGAGAAAAUGAAGAAGCUAUGAACCUUUGAUUUGCUUGCUUGAAUGACUAUUUGUGAUGUUCAAUUACCUCAUUACAAUAAGAGGGGUUUAUUACUUUAUUUUGUAGCUCUUUUGGUGUGGACUUUGGUCCUAAUAUUAAAAUAAAGCAGUUUGUCUGUUAUGCAUCUUCUUCUGUCUCCAUCUCAAUAUUUGUCUUAAAAAAUCUUAUCUUGUGAAAAAACAACUCUCAGUUGAUUGAUUAACCUGCAUGUGCAGAAUGUUUAUUAAGAAUGAAUACUUAACUAGUUGUAAAACAGUACUACUGCUACUUCCAGCAUACUGCUGGCAGAAUUGGUGAUGAAGGAAUGAACAUUGAGGCAACAACUGCUGAGAAUUCAAAAAUAAAAAAGAUGCCAUUUUGCUUCUCUAUAUUUUCCCAUUAUAACUCAUCAACCGAGAUCGAAGAAACUAAUUAAGAUGUCCAAGUAAACCAUUUGAAUGGUGGGAGAAGCAUAAGUGUCAUGAAAAUUGUGAAGAAAGAAUGGAAAUGAAAACCCAGAAAUCUUAUGACAUCUACUGUAGACAAAUUAAUGUCUUAAAUAAUCUUUUCAUAAUAAUAGAACGAGAAUCUUUUUAGCAAAUUGAACUUAUACAAAUCAUUUUCUUUUCAUAAAUAAAGUUUAUAAAGAAAUUAUUUCCUUUAUAAAUAAAAUCAAAUUGAAAUAUUUUUGUAAAUAAAGUUCUAAAAAUUCAUUCUUUUUCUAGUAAAAGUAAGUCAAAAUAAUUUUUAUUGUCAAAUUGGAAUUUUUUGAAUAAAUUCUAUCCAAAUAAAAUUCAAUCAAAUCAUUUAUUGGAAAUAAAUAAAUAAAUUAAAAUCUUGAAAAAGUAAUAUUUAAAAUAUCUUUUUGUAAUCAAUUUAAUAAAUCGGGGUGUAUAAUUCUAAUGUCAUUUAUUUUGUACAUUUUUGUAAUUUAAUUUUAUAAUUAUUUUCUUGUAUAUUAAUUUGUGUCUUUAAUCUUGAUAUUCAUGAUUGAUCAAUUAACUGUCAUAAUUCAUUUUGUUUGUUUAGUAAAGAUUGUUAGUAUACAUGCUUAGAGGGGUAUUACCACUUAUUAUUGUACCUUUCUGAUAGACAACUUGACCCUUGAAUAUAGACUUGAUUUUACAGACAUGUCUUUUCUAAAUGAGGAUUUAUACAAAAUUUUCUUUCUUAUUUUAUUUUCUCUUUUAAAAAAUAAAUUAAAAUAAGUGGCAAUCCUAAUUUUUUUAUAUAAAAAAAAAAAAUCAAAAUUUCACAAUAAAAAUGAGUCUCACUGUCGAGUGGGAACACACGCAAAAAAUACGGGUCAACAUGUAUCCAAUUGAUUGGGGUCAAUGUCAAGAUGUAUGAUAAAGAUGCAAAAUUUGAAUAUGAAUCCUACCAUUGAUUGAAUCUUGAACUACCUGAUACUGGUUGUAACAAGUGAGAUAAGUUGCUAAGGUUUGCAUUGAAAUCCUCAAUUGAAAGUUACUAGUCAUCCAAAUAUGUAUAUAAAUCAAAGUGCACACAAUUGAUUUUCUUUCUCUUCUAAAUCCAAGAAAUCAACCUCCUUAAGCAAAAGACCUUAGAAUUCUUAGAGUGUGUUUGAUAGUGAUUUUAGGAAGUGUUUUUAACUUUUUUAAUAAUUGAAAAAUAAGAAUUUUGAAGUGUUAAAAAUGUUAGAAACGCUUCCUAAAAUCACUAUCAAACGCACUUUUAAUGUAAUUUGCUCUAUGUACCACUUGAUGUGGAUGUUAAGAUUGAUAUCCUUGGUCAUUGCCUAUAAUCCUAUAUCUAUAAUAGCAAGAAGACAUACAUUGAAACAUGAAUACCCUUUCACUAUGUUUGGUUUAUGGAAAAUACUAAGAAAAGAAAAUGUUCUGAAAAAUGUUUUUCUUAUAUUUAGUUUUAUUAUGAAAAAUAAGAAAAAAAUAAAAUAUAAUUAUAAUUAAUUAAAAUUUUAUGUAUUUUAAAAUUAUUUAAUAUUUAUAUAAUGAAGGAAAAUAAAUGAAACAAGCUUGAAAAAGUAUAUAAAAAUAAUUUAUUAAUUAUAACUUGUAUGCGACUAUUUUGUACUUUAAUCCCGUUUUUCUUUUAUUCUCUUGUAGGUACCUUGAUUUUAUAUAUUUGUAUCUUUAUUCGAUGAUUUAGAUUUCAUAUAUUUGUAUCUUUAAUUGAGAUUGCAAGAUCCGUACGGAUUCAGAUUAGGGAUGACAACGGUAUGGGCUUGAGGCAAGUUACUCAUAUCCCAAUCCAUUAUAUUUAUUCGUAUAUGUUAUCAUCCCCACCAAAAAAAGAAAUUAAAUGGGAAUAGGAAAUUCUCAUGCCUACCCCAUGCUAUCCCAUUAUUUAUUUAUUUAUUUUUCAAUUUUUAUUUCUAAAAUUUUAAGAAAAUUAAUAUUUUAAAUAUGUUAAAAAAAUUGAAAACUGAAAAAAGAAAUCAAUUAAAGAACUUUUUAUUUAACAUUAUACAUAAUUAGGCUGAGGUAGGAUGAAACAAACUCAUACCCAAAAUCACCCUGAAUCAAUCUUGGGUUUUUAAAAAUUUCUCAAAUUCAAGAUGAGACAAAAUCAUAUCCAAAACUAUCUCGAAUCCAUCCUAGAUUUUAAAAAUUUUCUCUAAUUUAUCUAAACUUUAUAUCAUUAUCUCAAAACGAGUACAUUAAGGGUAUGACAAGUACUAAAAAAAAAUUGGUAUAUUGUCAUCCCUAAUCAAGAUCCUAAAAUUUUUCUUUAUGAUAAUGAAAACAACAAUCAUAGUCGUCAUCUCUCUAUCAGUGUACUUUUUAGGUUUGAUCGAAUACACCUUAUGUGUUGCCUUUGGGGCAACCUAGCUCUCUCAAUCAUUGUCUAAAGUUCGGGUGUUUGUUUGUUUUAAUUUUUUUCGACUUUUUUUAAUACUAAAAGUAACUUAAUGACUUUUUUUUAACUUUUUAGUACUUAAUAAAAAUAAAAUAUUAAAAAACCAAAAACUGUGAUGUUUAAUACUUUUAAACACUAUAUAAUUUUAAGUUUUAUUCAAAAUUAAGUAAAAAAGAAAAAAAAAACACUCCUUUGAUGGUCAUCUAAAACUUUUAGGUCAAAGCUUGAUUUGGAGCUCAUUUAAACCUAACCCAAACUUCAACUAAAAAGACCUAUGUCCAACACAAUUAUUAGAGGUGUCCAAUGGGUCAUGUCGGGCCAACACAACCCAUGUUUAUCAGGCCAAUGCGUUGGCUCGACCCAUGCAAGCCAAAUAGGUGGCUUGACAUGGCCCAUAAACCCAUGGGCUAAUCAUGUCGUGUUGUGCCAUGUCGGUGAGUCGCCCCAUGGGCCACACACUUUAAUUAUUAUUUUUUAAUUUAUUUUGUCUUAAGUUUUUUAUUAUUAAAUAAAAUUUCUUUUUGUUACUUUAAACACCUCUAAUAAUUAUACUUUUUAUUUUUUAUAUUUAUAUUUAUCAAGUUUAUAACUGUAAAAUUUAUAAAAAUGUUAGUUUUUUGUUUUUAAAAAUAAUAAAAAGUGAUAUUUAAAGGGUUAAGUGGGCCAACAUGAUGGCACGACGGGUUGUUUCCUUAGGCCCACCACGACCCGCUCCUUUGGGCCAUGCCGGCCUGACUCGAUCUUUUGGCGCACUAGGCCACAGGCCAAAAUGGGUGGCUCGACCCAUUGGACACCUCUAGUAGUUACAUGUCUAGCAUCCAAACGGUAGACCAGGUGAGUUUUGUCAAACCCAACCCAUUCAUCCCCUUUGCUUCAUGUUGGCCACCCGGUUCAGACCAACCAUUGGGUUGAUUUGGGGUCUUGGUUAUUUUUGUUUAAAUAAAUUGCAAAGAAAAAAAAAACUUGGUUUGGAUAAAUAAACUUAAGUUGUUUUUAAAAUAAGCUUUUAUUUGAUUUUUUCUAAAAAAAUUUAUAAAUUCAAUUUGUACAAUAUUAAUUAUAUUUAAUUGAAGUCUUAUUAAAGAUUUAAAAAAAAAUAGUUUUUAAAUUAAAGAUAAAUUAAAAAAAAUCAUAAAAUAUGAAAUUAAUAUUAUAAUAAAAUCAUAAAUUAUGAUUUUUAUUUAAAAUGAUACUAUUUUAAGAUAUGAUUGAUUUAUUUAUUUUGAUAAGAAUGAAUAAUACUAAUUUUAAAAUAAUAAAAGGGUGAUAUAGUUUAUUUGAAAUAAAUUUAAAAAUAAAUAAAAUUUAUUUUUUUAAUACGUAAAUAAGCGAAGUUUUUCAUUAUAUCUACACCUGAGAAUUUAAUCAAGGAUAUAGUAUUUUGAACUAGUUUUGAUUCAUUCCUAUAAUCUUCAUUCAGUCAUUAUGGUUUAGACAAUUGAUAAUUAAUCUGUUGGCAUAAUUGAUUCUGCAAAACAGUAUCCUGAAUUUAGUAUCGAGGGAGGCAGAAACACAGCGAGAGAGAGAGAGAGAGAGAGAGAGAGAGAGAGAGAGAGAGAGAGAUGAUGCUUAACAAUUAACAGACUGCAGACUGCUUUAUUGUAGUAAUAUGCCCAAAGUCCACACCAGAAGAGUUACAACCAGACCCUCUUAUUAUACCAUGUUUGUUACAAUGAGGGAAUUGAACAUCAUGAAUCGUCAUUCAAGCAAGGAAAUCAAAGGUUGACAGCUUAUUCUUUUUCUAUAUUUCCCCACUAGAAUCGUGCUUGAAGGUAUUCAACCACCCUCUUGUCCAACUGGAAGGCCCUUGCCAGGAAAUCAGGAUUGAUGGGUGGAUUUGAUCCAAACAUUGAACUGGCUAUGGUGAUUACACCUGGAUUUUGGCUGUUAAAAGCGGCAAUGGCUACUGCAUUAGUGUGCCCAAUGUUGACUUGGAAGUGAAUGAGACUGAAAGGGAACACAAAAACAUCCCCCUUGUUCAGGACUUUGCUAAUGAAGCGGUGUUCAGGGUUGGAUGUGAUAAAGCCAACAAAGAGUGUUCCCUCCAAGACAAUGAAGACCUCACUGGCACGAGGGUGAAAGUGAGGAGGGUUUUGACCAUUAGGUUCAUAAUCGAUACGAGCCACUGACACCCCAAGAGUGUUUUCUCCUGGUAAUUGAUCAACAUUUAUAAGAUUGACAAUUGAGCCCACAUAAUUUGAUGUGUUUCCUGGAAUAUUCAGCCCUUGAUACAAGAAAUCCUCGGCCACGGUCAGGUUUGGGUUCUUGCAGAACUUCCCAUUUACAAAUACUGCAUGAAGAAGGAAAAAAGAAAAGAUAUAUCAUUAGUAUCAAACCAUACUCACCAUAUCAAUAAAAAGAGAAGUACUGAAAAUAGCUAUAAGAUCAUUGGUUACUAUAGAAAUACCAGCAUUAUUGGGCUCAUCAACGGCAACACAGGUGUCUUCCAGUGGGCUUGGAUCAUAGGCAGAGGCAAGAAAGGAAGCCAAUGCCAUGAAGGCCACGGUUACCAGGAAACUAACGCCUCUCUUCAUUGUUAGAGUACUGCCUCCAACAAUCACAAUCUUUAUCUUUAGGCGGGGAUAAGAAAUUUAGCAUGGAAAAGAUGUUAAUUUAUAGACCAGAGUCGAUGAGUUAGUCUUUGCAUAAACUCACCAAGUCUUCAAUGGGAAGUUUUUUCUUCUUUCUUUUUUCACUUUCGAGGACAAGCGGUUGCACCAAUACAUGUUGAUUUACGUAGGAUUAGUCAGUAAACAGAUCUUAACCAGAAUAUAAAGCAAUGUACAAUCAGGUGGAGGCAGGUCCAAUUUAAUAUCAAUCUGCAUGAUCCAAACGUUUACAUUGUUUCAACAUUUUUGUAUUAUGGUUUUUAUGAACUGUGUUUUUUUGAGUUGUAAGGAAGAAAAACUUAGGUUUAAAGUUCUAGCAUAGAAGAAAAAACCUGUAGAUUAAUUGAUUUUUUAAUCUGAACCAAACACAUGAUCAACUCCAUAAAAACAAGUGGAAAACAAGAAAAAAUGAAUGAUUUUUAAUAUGUAUUUGUGUGAGAAUGAUAGGUAUAGAUUUUUUUUUGAGAUAUACUGCCACAUAAUCUUCAUCCCUUCUAAAAAACGAGAGAGAAAAAAAAAAGAAUGAUUUUUCUGUUUGUAUCUAAGUGAGAAUGAGAUAUAGAAUUUCACUCCAGACGCAUUAAUUUUAUCUCAUACUGCCAUGCUAGACCAAAUCAGCCCUUAACGACAACCACACUGUUUUGUGGGGGGGGGGUUACUUUUGUUCCAUUAUAUUCACAGAAUCUUCAAAUCCAUUCUUUGGAUUAAUCUGCAUGAGGAAAUCUGUUACUGUUAGUGACGGAAACCUGUUAUUGUUAGUACCGGAGUCAACUGUUUGACUGGGUGGGUUCCAAUCAGAUCCUAAGGAAUGGGUCCAAAGGUCAUCCAUUAGAGUUAAUGGAAUUCAUUGUUGUUCUUGUGCCUUGAUGUGUGAGCCCAACACGCACAGAUGCAACUAGGGAUGGCAACGGGGCGGGUUUUUUCGGGUACCCGCCCUGCCCCGCCCCUAAUGGGAUGGGGUUGAAAUUUAAUAAAUGGGUUUUUAACGGGUAUAAGAUUUUUUUUUUUAAACCCGGGGCGGGUUCGGGUAUUGCCCCAUCCCGCCCCGCCCCGCCCCGCCCCGCCCCGCCCCGCCCCGUUUACAUAUAAAAUCAAUUUUAAAAUUUAAUUUAAUUUAAUUUAAAUUUUAAAAUUAAUUUUAUUUUACUAUUUUUAAUAUAUAGAUAAUAAAAAAAAAUUAAUAAAAUAAAUUAUAAAAAAUAUAAUAAUUUUAUUAUUUAUAAAUAUAUUUAUUUUAAUGUAAUUAAAAAUUUUAAAAGCAAUUUUUUUUUUUUUUAAAAAGGAGGCUAAACAGGGCUGGGCGGGGCGGGUUUGGGAAUUUCCCAUACCUGCCCCGCCCCGCCCCGCCCUGCCCCGUUUAAUUUUUUAAACGGGACGGGGAUGGGAAUUAUUUUUAAUAAACGGGGCGGGGUUGGGAUGGGGGCGACCCGUCCCGAACCUGCCCCGUUGCCAUUCCUAGAUGCAACAGUAUGAGUCAUGUGCAGGUAGAUUUGAAUAGACACAUCUUGGCAUCGGGAUGGCUUGAGCAAGGUGUAGUCUCCUACAAUAGGAAGCAUGGUGAACUGAUGCAUCACAUGAGCAAGACUCCUAUUGCAUGAGACAUACUCCUAUCACAUGAGACUUCUAGUCAAAGUGGGAGAUUGAGACCUAAUAUUGCAGGAAGAGAAAGGGACUCUUGACAUGAGAAGACUCCUAAUCGGGAUAGAAAACUAAAUCUUCAUGCAUAAGGAGAUAGAGAGAUGUGGCAUGAGAGUUUUAGAUUCAGUAGGACUUGGAGUCCUACUCAAAUUUGUCAUCUGUUAAGCUUGAGUCGGACGCAAACUAGGACUCAAAAGUUAGUCUCCUAGUAGGAUUAGGAUGGCUUGGUGCAACCUUCAUAAAAGGAGGGCGUGACCCAAUAGGAUGCUCCAAAAAUGGUACCUUACGUGAUAGGAAGGCCCCUUCAAAAGUCAUAUUGCUUGUACCACCAAGACACCACCACUAAGUAUUUGUCCAUAUCUUAAUCCAUGUGUGCAUGGAGAUGAACAUAAAUAUAUAUAGAAAAGAUAAAUAUUAGAAGACAAGUCUCCACAAAGAGACAAAAAUAUAGAAGGCUUCGGUCAACCAAUCCCGCUAUGCGUGGCAAAUGUUUCAGGGGACUGCGUAGGAUUGAACAGCCUUUGCUAGAGGGAAGAUCAAUCUAUGGGCGUGAAUAAAGAGAGAACUGGAGAAGUAUUGGAACAGGCGGGUCACCUCAGUUGACCAGGAAACAUGGCAUUAGUCAACGCAAACCUUGGCUUUCGAUCUCUACAUCGGUGCUGAAUAUUGUUGAACGGAAACACGUGGCCAGCUACAUUGGUUCUAGACAACAAAGGCUGCAACAAUUAACCUGAAAUUGAAAAUUUUGAAAUUUUUUUGAAAACAUAACAUCUUAAGAUGACUGGUAACCUUCUCUUAUUGGUUGGCUCUAAAUCAAAACCACUAUACAUGCAUUGUUCAAUGUAUAUAUGAUGUAGCAUUUUUGUGUUUUGUCUUUUACAAGUUGUAUAUAUUGGAAAAUUCUGACACCAUACAAAAACAUAGAAAAGCCACAAAUACCGCAACUUGCAUAUUUUCAUUUUAUGGCUGAAACUUUUCAAUGAAUCAUUAUCUUUAUUUCAAACUUUAAAAUUUUGAAAACAUAACAUCUUAAGAUGACUCGUAACCUUCUCUUAUUGGUUGGCUCUAAAUCAAAACCACUAUACAUGCAUUGUUCAAUGUAUAUAUGAUGUAGUAUUUUUGUGUUUUGUCUUUUACAAGUUUUAUAAAUUGGAAAAUUCUGACACCAUACAAAAACAUAGAAAAGCCACAAAUACCGCAACUUGCAUAUUUUUAUUUUAUUUUAAUUAUUUAUAGUUGAUUAGGUUUAUGGUAUGCCAUGUUGGAUGCUUUCAGAUUUUACAGAUCUAAGUUACUUUUAUUUUGAGAACGAAUAUUCCAUAAUUCAACCUUUUCCUUUUCUUGUUGGUAAUCAUGAUACAUAAAAUCUAGGAAUGCUAAACACAUCUUUUUUAAAAGUACUAUAUUGUAUUACAAUAGGAAAUGGCUUUUAUCAAAAGAGAAAUAUCCUUAAAUUGAUUAGGCCUAGCUCAUACUUUCAUCAACCAUAUGAUGACAUGAAAAAAAUCAAAGAAGAAAUAUGGGAAAUGGUACGAAAAGAGAUGGGUAGUAAUAACAUGAGACAACAACUUGUUUUACAACUAGUUGUAGCAGAAAAACCAAUGUUUAAAAUGAUAGAAGAGCCCCAACCACCAGAACCACCACUGAAACACAAGGUAUGCAUUUACUUACUAAUAAUACAAGAUUAAUAUAAGUGACAUAAAGCCUAUGUAAAUGAUAUUAUUUGUUGUAUUGAAGGUAAUUAAAUGUAAAUUAGCAGUGGAAAGAAAAGAAAAUGUUGUUCCAACUGGUACACUAAUAGAAGAAAAAGGAUCGAAUAGGUUGGUUGUAAUAAAUGCUGCACACAAGCCAGAUGCUAGACUCCCAUUUCCAAAUCCAUAUGAGAUUAUCAAUGUUGGGGAUGCUAUUGGCUUUGAGCUUGACUGGCCAACAAGCCUUGUCAUACUUGAAACUGAACAUCCUUAGGUAUGUCAUUUUAUGCCUAUAGUAAAUUUGAUUGUAACUUGGUAUUUUAUUGUUUAGGAGUAUAUAUAUCUAACAUUCCUUCCUUUUUCAUAGGUGUUGGAUAAAGGAAAGAAGAAGAUAGUGAAGACACCAAUUUUUUGAAAAUCUAAGCCUCAAAAUCAUUCGGUCAUUAAAAAUUUUCAAAAAUUUGUGGAUGGUUGUCUUGGUAAUGACAAGACAUACCCAAUACAGCUCCCCAUUUCACUUUUUGGUGUCGAAUUUCAAACAUAUAUAUCUAGAGAGGAUUGUGAAUACAUUAUUUCAUCUUUAGAGGUGUCAUCAAACUGCAUCUCCUUCUAUUUAUGGUGUGCACCUUUUAUUUUCAUUUGUUUUUAUUUUUUUAAAUAUGAGUUGCCCAUGUUGAACGAAAUUGGAUAUGACUAAUGAUAAUUUUCUUUUGGUGUUUUGAUACAAUAAUAGGCACAUGCAUGAUCAACUACAUAUUGCCAAAAAGGAAUCACAAUUUAUAUUUGUUAAUCCUUUUACAAUAUCACGAGCAAGCCUUAGUACUCAUCAAACAGAGAAAAGAGCACAAUUGUUGUCAAAACGCUUAAUGGAGUGCCAAGAUGCUAAAUAUGUUUUCAUACCUUACAACCCUGAGUAAGUGACAAAUAUUAUACUUUAAUUUGAGGUUUUAUGAUUGAUUUAUAUUUCUAAUUAGACGCUACUUUUGUUUUUAAUGUUUUAGCUUUCAUUGGGUCUUGGUGGUGAUUGAGCCAAGGAAAAUGAUAGUCCACUAUCUUGACCCUAUGCAUCACAAACUAUUUGAGGACUUAAAGAAUAUCGUAAACAUGUAAGUUCUUCCUAUUAUUUUUCAUAGUAUUAUUUUUUUUUUUUUAUAAAAAAUACAUUCAUCUCAAACACAUUGAACUUAUUUACAUAGGGCACUUCGAAUAUCUACAAAGAAAACAUCUAAAAGGGAGCCAUCUUGGCAACUAGUGCAGGUGACAUCCAAAAAAUUUUCUUUACACAUUAGCUUAUGCAUUUGCACCAUUUAUAUAUAUGAGUACUAAUGUUAUUUUAUAAUUGAUCGAUUAGUGUCCAAGACAAGAAGGAGGGUUCGAAUGUGGCUACUUUGUUAUGAGAUUCAUAAAAGAGAUAAUUUUUUAUCCUACAAUUAUUGCUUCAAAGGUAUUACAAAUUUAAUGAAUUGUACAUAGUUUUAGGCUUCCAAAUGUUAUGCAUUUUAAUGUUAUUUUCUUAUUUGAUUUCAGUUUGGUGAUAAAAAAACAUAUUCUCAAGUAGAAUUCGAUGAAAUUAGAGAAAAAUGGGCUACUUUUGUGCUACAACUAAUCAUGAAUCAUGUUGAUGCAUCAUGAUCACCAUGCAUGGUGAGUCCUUUAGCUACUACAUGAAUUUUUCCAUAGGUUCUUUGAAUAAUGUUUCUAUUUGAAAAAAAAAAAGAAAAAAAAAUAGUUCUUAGAUUUUUUUCAUUUAUGAUAACAUCGAUCCAUGUUUAUUUUCUUCAAUAAAAAUCUAUAAAACUCAUUAAACUAUGAAAUGCAAGUAUACACUUUUGGGAUGGUGGAAUGGAGAAUAAAAAGAAAGAAGAAGGCAACAAGAUUUUGGGUUUUUAAAUGCAACUCUUAUGUCAUACGUUGUAGGACAUAAAUGUUAAUUUAAUUAGUACUGAGAAAUUUAGAUUUUUAGAUGGGACUUUUAUGUCAUUUUAUAGUUAGCCGGUUUUAUGCUUAUGAAUUGGAGGUAUACAUGAAUCUUGGGAUCUUUAACAUUUCUAAAUCAUGUUUUGGUAUGUAUUCACUCUUCUUUUUUUAGUUUUGAUGGGUUUGAUAUGUUGGAUGUACUAUCUUUUUGUGAACAUUUGAUAUACAAAUAUUAUUAGAUGAUCAAUGUAUUAUGAGUUAUUCUAGAAACAUUACAGAAAAAUGAGUUAAAUAUAAUAUUAUUGUUAUAUUUAUGGACAAAAAAUAAAUAGGUUAAUCUUACUUAUUAAUUCAUAAGCAUUACAAAAAUUUAUAACUAAAAGCAAUCAUAUCUUCCACAAUAAUUUACAAUGAUGUGACACCAUUACUCAAAGGUGAUGCAUUUAAUAUGACAUUAUAAUUCAAAGAUGAUGCAUUUAAUGCGAUACCCUCUCAUCACUAGAAAUAUAUGGUGUCACUUCCGAAUGGGUCACCAUUUAUCUACUUUGGUGUCACUUCCAAAUACGUUACCAAUUGGUACCCUCUAUGGUAUCAGUGGAGAAGGUGACGCUAUGUUGUAGUGACACCCUAUGUUUAUGGUAACUCGUUAUAAAUGUCACCAUAUAUCUUUUUCCCUAUAGUGUAUAGCUCCAGUGAGGCUGUUCUCAGAGAAACAAAGGUAUGUCAAGUUUGUCAUUUGGCCUAGUACAGCAGGAAUGCUUCCAGUCAGAUUGUUAUCGUCCAAGUCUAUUGUCUCCAGGCUCCAAUAGCCUUGUAUGGAGGCUGGAAUAUUGCCUCCAAGCUUAUUACAACUCAUGUUUAUGAAUGUUAACUCAGAAAGCUCUCCAAUGGUAGCUGGGAUCCCUCCAUACAAGCUGUUGCCUUGCAAAGAGAGGGUGGUGAGAUGGGAUAGAUUGGAUAUGUAUGGUGAGAUAACUCCCUGUAAGCGCAUGUUUAUGAGCUUGAUUGACUCUAUUGAUAUUUUGUUGGUUGAGCAUGGAUUUAUGACUUAUAACGCACACGUGGAGGGUUGAAUUUCAUGAAAGAAAAUGAGGGUCAGAAAAAUAAUAAAUGGCAAGACAUUGAGCUUAUUGUGGGUAUGAUUGGGUACAAAUUCUUUUGUAUAUAUCUACUUGGGGUAUACAAUUGAAUAUUUAAUUUAGGAAGAUUCAAAAAAUUGUUUUCAAUGAAAUUCAAUAAUAAUAAUAAUAAUAAUAACAAUUGCCUGGAAAUUUAUUUAUUUAAUAAACAUUGUUUUGUCAUCAAAGUUAAUUUUUAAUAAAAUUAUCUAAAAAAAUGAAUUUUUAAAUAAAAUUCUAUUUCCUUAAUUAAAAUGGGCUAAAAAGUAAUUUUUGCAAAUUAAUGUCUUAAAUAACCUUUUCAUAAUAAUAGAAUGAGAAUCUUUUUAGCAAAUUGAACUUAUACAAAUCAUUUUCUUUUUGUAAAUAAAGUUUGUAAAAAAAUUAUUUUCUUUAUAAAUAAAAUCAAAUUGAAAUAUUUUUACAACUAAAAGAAUAUUUAGUUGAGCAAGUGAUGAACUAUUUUCUUGUUUAAGUAACCUUUUGUAAUGUUCCCCCAGCAUAAUGGUAGUACAAUAAGAGGGUUUAUUAUGUACUUCUUUCUAUAUGGACUUUGGGUAUAAUAAAAACAAUGCUUUCUCUUUCUCUCUCUCUCUCUCUCCCCCUCAGUCCACAGGUUUAGACCCUUAGCUUUACCCUGCACUAAGUCUUGAAAGCCAAAGAUUAUGCAGAAUCAAACUCUUAAAGUCUACAGCAUGAGUUGAGGAAAAAAGGAUGAGUAUUUAACGUAGUAGUUGAGGAAUGAUUCAAUGUUUGAAAUAUAAAAAAUGCAAUCCAUUGAACACUUAGCUGGCCUAUCUGCUUAUUAUUGUAUACAUAAAACAUAGACUAAUCCGAAGACUUCUAUGUGAUAACUUUAGAAUUUUCAUAUCCAAGGUUUUCACUUCUUUCUCAUCAGAAGACAAAGAUUGUAACUGUUGCAGAAAACCUAACAACCUAGUUUAUUUGUUAAGGUCCCUUUCUCUCAUAAAACAUAAAUAUAUUCACUAUCAAACACCAUAAUGAUAAUAAUAAUUAAUGAUCUUCUUUUUGCUGUAUAUACACUACUUUAGAGUUUGUUCAAUGUUUGGUUACCAAGAAAACACAAGGACUGAUCUGCUGCAUUAAAAGGUUAAUAUGUAGUUCUUCCAUUAGCUAGCCAUUUGGAACUAAGUCUUGUGGAGAACUUUUCAUAUUGGAGAUGGAUAUGAAAUUGGACCUGCCUCCACCUCAUUGAACUUCACUUUCAACAUAUGCAUUGAGAAUAUUUAAGUUAAGAUCAGUAUACUAACUAACCCUACAUAAAUUAACAUGUAUUGGUGAAAACACUUAUCCUUGUAAGUGAGAAAGCAAAAAAAGAAAAAAAAAAAAAGAAAAAAGAGAGAGACCUACCCAUUGAAGACUGUCUAUAAAUUGACAUGUUUCUCAUGCAAAAAUUUUCACCCCUCGCCUAAACGCAAAGAUUUGUAAUUGUUUGGAGACAGUACUCUAACAAUGGAGAAAGGUGUUAGUUUCCUAGUAACUGUGGCCCUCAUGGCAUUGGCUUCAUCUUUUGCCUCUGCCUCUGAUCCAAGCCCACUGCAGGACACUUGCGUUGCCAGACCCAAGAAUGCUGGUAUUUCUUUAGUAACCAACGAACUUGUCUCUAUUUUCACUAAUCUUUCCAAUUCAAUAUUGGGCACAUUAAUGCAGUAGCCAUUGCUGGUCUGAGCAGCCAAAAUCCAGGUGUAAUCACCAUAGCCAAUGCAGUGUUUGGAUCAAAUCCACCCAUCAAUCCCGAUUUCCUGGCAACGGCCUUCCAGUUGGACAAGAAGGUGGUUGAAUUCCUUCAAGCACGAUUCUAGUGGGGAAAUAGAGAAAAUGAAGAAGCUAUGAACCUUUGGUUUUCUUGCUUGAAUGACUAUUUGUGAUGUUCAAUUACCUCAUUACAAUAAGAGGGGUUUAUUACUUUAUUUUGUAGCUCUUUUGGUGUGGAUUUUGAUCCUGAUAUUAAAAUAAAGCAGUUUGUCUGUUAGGCAUCUUCUUCUGUCUCCAUCUCAAUAUUUGUCUUAAAAAAUCUCAUCUUGUGAAAAAACAACUGGAUAACAACUCUCAGUUGAUUGAUUAACCUGCAUGUGCAGAAUGUUUAUUAAGAAGGAAUACUUAGCUAGUUGUAAAACAGUACUACUGUUACUUCCAGCAUAAGUGUCAUGAAAAUUGUGAAGAAAGAAUGGAAAUGAAAACCCAGAAAUCUUAUGACAUCUACUGUAGACAAAUUAAUGUCUUAAAUAAUCUUUUCAUAAUAAUAGAAUGAGAAUCUUUUUAGCAAAUUGAACUUAUACAAAUCAUUUUCUUUUCGUAAAUAAAGUUUGUAAAGAAAUUAUUUUCUUUAUAAAUAAAAUCAAAUUAAAAUAUUUUUGUAAAUAAACUAAAAAUUAAUGUCCUAAGUAAAAAUCAUUUUUAUUGUCAAAUUGGAAUUUUUUGAAUAAAUUCUAUCCAAAUAGAAUUGAAUCAAAUCAUUUAUUGGAAAUAAAUAAAUAAAUUAAAAUCUUGAAAAAGUAAUAUUUAAAAUAUCUUUUUGUAAUCAAUUUAAUAAAUCGGUUUGUAUAAUUCUAAUGUCAUUUAUUUUGUACAUUUUUGUAAUUUAAUUUUAUCAUUAUUUUCUUGUAUAUUAAUUUGUCUCUUUAAUCUUGAUAUUCAUGAUUGAUCAAUUAACUGUCAUAAUUCAUUUCGUUUGUUUAGUAAAUAUUGUUAGUAUACAUGCUUAGAGGAGUAUUACGACUUAUUACUGUACCUUCCUGAUAGGCAACCUGACCCUUGAAUAUAGACUUGAUUUUACAAACAUGUCUUUUCUAAAUGAGGAGUUACACAAAAUUUUCUUUCUUAUUUUGUUCUCUUUUAAAAAAUAAAUUAAAAUAAGUGGCAACCCUAAUUUUUUUAUAAAAAAAAAAAAAAAAUCAAAUUUUCACAAUAAAAAUGAGUCUCACUGUCGAGUGGGAACACACGCAAAAAAUACGGGUCAACAUGUAUCCAAUUGAUUGGGGUCAAUGUCAAGAUGUGUGAUAAAGAUGCAAAUUUGAAUAUGAAUCCUGCCAUUGAUUGAAUCUUGAACUACCCGAUAGUGGUUGUAACAAGUGAGAUAAGUUGCUAAGGUUUGCGUUGAAAAGUUCAGCCAUGGAAAGUUACUAGUCAUCCAAAUAUGUAUAUAAAUCAAAGUGCACAUUCUAAAUCAAAGAAAUCAGCCUCCUUAAGCAAAAGACCUUACAAUUCUUAGAGUAUGUUUGGUAGUAAUUUUAGGAAGUGUUUUUAACUUUUUUAAUAAUUGAAAAAUAAGAAUUUUGAAGUAUUAAAAAAUGUUAGAAACACUUCCUAAAAUCACUAUCAAACGCACUUUUAAUGUAAUUUGCUCUAUCUACCACUUGAUGUGGAUGUUAAGAUUGAUAUCCUUGGUCAUUGCCUAUAAUCCUAUAUCUAUAAUUGCAAGAAGACAUACAUUGAAACAUGAAUACCCUUUCACUAUGUUUGGUUUAUGGAAAAUACUAAGAAAAGAAAAUGUUUUUCUUAUAUUUAGUUUUAUUAUGAAAAAUAAGAAAAAAUAAAAUAUAAUUAUAAUUAAUUAAAAUUUUAUGUAUUUUAAAAUUAUUUAAUAUUUAUAUAAUGAAGGAAAAUAAAUGAAACGAGCUUGAAAAAGUAUAUAAAAAUAAUUUAUUAAUUAUAACUUGUAUGCGACUAUUUUGUACUUUAAUCCCGUUUUUCUUUUAUCCUCUUGUAGGUACCUUGAUUUUAUAUAUUUGUAUCUUUAUUCAAUGAUUUAGAUUUCAUAUAUUUGUAUCUUUAAUUGAGAUUGCAAGAUCUGUACGGAUUCAGAUUAGGGAUGGCAACGCUAUAAGCUUAAGAUAAGUUACUCAUAUCCCAAUCCAUUAUAUUUAUUCGUAUAUGUUAUCAUCCCCACCAAAAAAAGAAAUUAAAUGGGAUGGGACGGGUAUAGGAAAUUCUCAUGCCUACCCCAUGCUAUCCCGUUUUUUAUUUAUUUAUUUUUCAAUUUUUAUUUCUAAAAUUUUAAGAAAAUUAAUAUUUUAAAUAUGUUAAAAAAAUUGAAAACUGAAAAAAGAAAUCAAUUAAAAGAACUUUUUAUUUAACAUUAUACAUAAUUAGGCUGAGGUAGGAUGAAACAAACUCAUACCCAAAAUCACCCCGAAUCAAUCUCGGGUUUUAAAAAAUUUCUCAAAUUCAAGAUGAGACAAAAUCAUAUCCAAAACUAUCUCGAAUCCAUCCUAGAUUUUAAAAAUUUUCUCAAAUUUAUCUAAACUCGUUUAUCAUUAUCUCAAAACGAGCCCAUUAAGGGUAGGACGAGUACUAAAUAAAAUUGGUAUAUUAUCAUCCCUAAUCAAGAUCCUAAAAUUUUUCUUUAUGAUAAUGAAAACAACAAUCAUAGUCGUCAUCUCUCUAUCAGUUUACUUGUUAGGUUUGAUCAAAUACACCUUAUGUGUUGCCUUUGGGCAACCUAGCUCUCUCAAUCAUUGUCUAAAGUUCGGGUGUUUGUUUAUUUUUUUAAUUCAUUUUGUCUUAAGUUUUUUAUUAUUAAAUAAAAUUUCUUUUUGUUACUUUAAACACCUCUAAUAAUUAUACUUUUUAUUUUUUAUAUUUAUAUUUAUCAAGUUUAUAACUGUAAAAUUUAUAAAAAUGUUAGUUUUUUGUUUUUAAAAAUAAUAAAAAGUGAUAUUUAAAGGGUCAAGUGGGCCAGCAUGAUGGCACGAUGGGUUGUUUCCUUAGGCCCACCACGACCCGCUCCUUUGGGCCAUGCCGGCCUGACUCGGUCUUUUGGCGCACUUGGCCACAGGCCAAAAUGGGUGGCUCGACCCAUUGGACACCUCUAGUAGUUACAUGUCUAGCAUCCAAACGUUAGACCAGAUGAGUUUUGUCAAACCCAACCCAUUCAUCCCCUUUGCCUCAUGUUGGCCACCCGGUUCGGACCAGCCUUGACAUGAACGGCAAGGUCCAAUGGAUUAGGUUGAUUUAGGGUCUCGAUUAUUUUUGUUUAAAUAAAUUGCAAAGAAAAAAAAAACUUGGUUUGGAUAAAUAAAUUUCAAUUGUUUUUAAAAUAGGUUUUUAUUUUAUUUUUUGUAAAAUUUUUUAUAAAUUCAAUUUAUACAAUAUUAAUUAUAUGUAAUUGAAGUCUUAUUAAAGAUUUUUUAAAAAAUAGUUUUUAAAUUAAAGAUAAAUUAAAAAAAAUCAUAAAAUAUGAAAUUAAUAUUAUAAUAAAAUCAUAAAUUAUGGUUUUUAUUUAAAAUGAUACUAUUUUAAGAUAUGAUUUAUUUAUUUUUAUAAGAAUGAAUAAUACUAAUUUUAAAAUAAUAAAAGGGUGAUAUAUUUUAUUUGAAAUAAAUUUAAAAAUAAAUAAAUUUUAUUUUUUUAAUACGUAAAUAAGUCAUGUUUUUCAUUAUAUCUACACCCGAGAAUUUAAACUUGACCCAAACUUCAACUAAAAAGACCUAUAUCCAACACAGUUAUUAGAGGUGUCCAAUGGGUCGUGUCGGGCCAACACAAUCCGAUGUUUAUCAGGCCAAUGCGUUGGCUCGACCCAUGCAAGCCAAAUAGGUGGCUUGACAUGGCCCAUAAGCCCAUGUGCUAAUCAUGUCGUGUUGUGCCAUGCCGGUGAGUCGUGCCCCAUGGGCACACACUUUAUUAAAAAUUUUAAUUAAUUUUUUUUAAUUCAUUUUGACUUAAGUUUUUUUAUUAUUAAAUAAAAUUUCUUUUUGUUACUUUAAACACCUCUAAUAAUUAUACUUUUUUAUUUUUUAUACACUUCUAAUAAUUAUACUUUUUUUUUAUAUUUAUAUUUAUCAAGUUUAUAACUGUAAAAUUUAUAAAAAUGUUAGUUUUUUGUUUUUAAAAAUAAUAAAAAGUGAUAUUUAAAGGGUUAAGUGGGCCAGCAUGAUGGCACGAUGGGUUGUUUCCUUAGGCCCACCACGACCCGCUCCUUUGGGCCAUGCCAGCUUGACUCGGUCUUUUGGCGCACUAGGCCACAGGCUAAAAUGGGUGGCUCGACCCAUUGGACACCUCUAGUAGUUACAUGUCUAGCAUCCAAACGUUAGACCGGGUGAGUUUUGUCAAACCCAACCCAUUCAUCCCCUUUGCUUCAUGUUGGCCACUCGGUUCAGACAUUGGGUUGAUUUGGGGUCUCGGUUCUUUUUGUUUAAAUAAAUUGCAAAGAAAAAAAAAACUUGGUUUGGAUAAAUAAACUUCAGUUGUGUUUAAAAUAAGUUUUUAUUUGAUUUUUUGUAAAAAAAAUUAUAAAUUCAAUUUAUACAAUAUUAAUUAUAUUUAAUUGAAGUCUUAUUAAAGAUUUUUUUAAAAAUAGUUUUUAAAUUAAAGAUAAAUUAAAAAAAUUCGUAAAAUAUGAAAUUAAUAUUAUAAUAAAAUCAUAAAUUAUGAUUUUUAUUUAAAAUGAUACUAUUUUAAGAUAUGAUUGAUUUAUUUAUUUAUUUAUUUUGAUAAGAAUGAAUAAUACUAAUUUUAAAAUAAUAACAGGGUGAUAUUUUAUUUGAAAUAAAUUUAAAAAUAAAUAAAAUUUAUUUUUUUUAAUACGUAAAUAAGUGAAGUUUUUCAUUAUAUCUACACCUGAGAAUUUAAUCAAGGAUAUAGUAUUUUGAACUAGUUUUGAGUCAUUCCUAUAAGCUUCAUUCAGUCAUUAUGGUUUAGACAAUUGAUAAUUAAUCUGUUGGCAUAAUUGAUUCUGCAAAACAGUAUCCUGAAUUUAGUAUCGAGGGAGGCAGAAACACAGCGAGAGAGAGAGAGAGAGAGAGAUGAUGCUUAACAAACAGACUGCAGACUGCUUUAUUGUAGUAAUAUGCCCAAAGUCCACACUAGAAGAGUUACAACCAGACCCUCUUAUUAUACCAUGUUUGUUACAAUGAGGGAAUUGAACAUCAUGAAUCGUCAUUCAAGCAAGGAAAUCAAAGGUUGACAGCUUAUUCUUUUUCUAUAUUUCCCCACUAGAAUCGUGCUUGAAGGUAUUCAACCACCCUCUUGUCCAACUGGAAGGCCCUUGCCAGGAAAUCAGGAUUGAUGGGUGGAUUUGAUCCAAACAUUGAACUGGCUAUGGUGAUUACACCUGGAUUUUGGCUGUUAAAAACGGCAAUGGCUACUGCAUUAGUGUGCCCAAUGUUGACUUGGAAGUGAAUGAGACUGAAAGGGAACACAAAAACAUCCCCCUUGUUCAGGACUUUGCUAAUGAAGCGGUGUUCAGGGUUGGAUGUGAUAAAGCCAACAAAGAGUUUUCCCUCCAAGACAAUGAAGAUCUCACUGGCACGAGGGUGAAAGUGAGGAGGGUUUUGACCAUUAGGUUCAUAAUCGAUACGAGACAGUGACACCCCAAGAGUGUUUUCUCCUGGUAAUUGAUCAACAUUUAUAAGAUUGACAAUUGAGCCCACAUAAUUUGAUGUGUUUCCUGGAAUAUUCAGCCCUUGAUACAAGAAAUCCUCGGCCACGGUCAG